CCAUGGUCCCCGGUCUGGGGACAGGGCCCCGCCAGACCCCGGGCCAGAACCUUGACACCUGCGUGGCAGGGGCUCCGGCGGGAGACCCACGGCCACCGUGACCCAGCCUCCGGACCCAAGCUCAGAAAGAAUAAGCAAGUCACUGUUCCGGCACCUGUCUGUACUCAGCCUGUUCUCAGUUCCCUCUCCUCUGGCUGCGCUGGCUCCCUAGCUGUUCGUCAAAGGCAAGGAGCAGCGCCUGCAAGUGCUAAUGCCUUCACUGAAAAGCUGCUCCCCAGAAGUCUGCUCCCUGGCCCCCUAAGGGCCCUUCUUCCCUGACUGCACAUCUGUGUCCUCUCCCUUCACUCUAAACCCCUCAGCUUCAGUUACUCUUGGACACAGCUUUAUCAUCCUCGGCACAUGUUUAUUUGUUGUGUCUGUUGCCACCCACAGACACAAGCACACAGAAUGUCAGCUCCCAGGAUCUGGGCUCUGCAGGGCUCACUGCCGAGUCCUCAAGUCCUCAGCAUGCAGAGGUGCCUGGCCUUAACGAGAAUCAGUAAAUACUGAGUUAAUUAAAGCAGCCAAGCUUGUGAUGAGAUGGCGAACACUGGUGGUAUCCAACUAGCGGCUCUCGUCAGCUGAAGGCACAAAAUGCGGUGCUGUGAGCAACCUGUACAGACGCCCCCAGAGGAAUGUAUGAUUUCAGUUGGACAGUUUGAGGUUUUGAAAUGGUUAUCAAACUCCACCCCCACCCCCCACAAGCACCCUCAAGGACCCCUAGGGGUCCAGGAGCUCAACUGGAGGCAGCUGGGCUAGGUGAGCCUUACUUUGCAAAGCUGGGAUUCCACAUUUCUGUGGCAGGGUGAUCUCUGGGGUAAAGGGGUCUUACCGUCGUCACCAUCAUAAUCCAGACCGCAGACAGUUACUUCUGGAAGGCAGUUGAGCGUGAGCCCAAAAACCCAGGGAGUUCUGGGCUGGCAAUGUAGAUUUGGAAGCUGUUUCCAGUACCAGUCUCACCAUCUACCCCAUGUAAGCUUAACUCUAGGGCUGCAGUGAGCAACAUGGAAACCACUGGCCAGUGUGGCUAUUGAACAUCUGAAAUGUGGCCAGUGCAACUGGAUUUUAAUUUUACUUAGUUUUAACUUAAAAACAGAAACAGUGUAAGCUAUUUCCCCAUUGAACACAAAUUUAUUGCUGUAUUAUGCUGUUGAAAAUUUAGCAUCUAAAUUCAGAGGUGUAAAAUGCACACCAGAGUUUUAAAACUCGUACACAAAAAAAGGUAAAACAUCUCAUUAAUAAUUUUUAUAUUGAUUUUUAUAUUGACAUGAUAAUAUUUUGGAUAUAUUGAUUCAAAUAAAAUGUUAUUAAAAUGAA